GACGGAGGGUGCAAGCGUUGCUCGGAAUCACUGGGCGUAAAGGGUGCGUAGGCGGUCUCGCAAGUCUGGCGUGAAAGCCCAAGGCUCAGCCUUGGAAGUGCGCUCGAAACGGCGAGGCUGGAGUGCCGGAGGGGAGAGUGGAAUUCCCGGUGUAGCGGUGAAAUGCGUAGAGAUCUGGAGGAACACCGGUGGCGAAGGCGGCAUCCUGGACCAACACUGACGCUGAGGAGCGAAAGCCAGGGGAGCAAACGGG
rnacentral:rRNA from 1 species